GAUGAACGCUGGCGGCAGGCCUAACACAUGCAAGUCGAGCGGAUGAAGAGAGCUUGCUCUCUGAUUCAGCGGCGGACGGGUGAGUAAUGCCUAGGAAUCUGCCUGGUAGUGGGGGACAACGUUUCGAAAGGAACGCUAAUACCGCAUACGUCCUACGGGAGAAAGCAGGGGACCUUCGGGCCUUGCGCUAUCAGAUGAGCCUAGGUCGGAUUAGCUAGUAGGUGGGGUAAUGGCCCACCUAGGCGACGAUCCGUAACUGGUCUGAGAGGAUGAUCAGUCACACUGGAACUGAGACACGGGCCAGACGCCUACGGGAGGCAGCAGUGGGGAAUAUUGGACAAUGGGCGAAAGCCUGAUCCAGCCAUGCCGCGUGUGUGAAGAAGGUCUUCGGAUUGUAAAGCACUUUAAGUUGGGAGGAAGGGUAUUCACCUAAUACGUGGGUACUUUGACGUUACCAACAGAAUAAGCACCGGCUAACUCUGUGCCAGCAGCCGCCGUAACAC
rnacentral:rRNA from 1 species